rnacentral:rRNA from 1 species
AGCAGCCGCGGUAAUUCCAGCUCCAAUAGCGUAUAUUAAAGUUGUUGCAGUUAAAAGCUCGUAGUUGAAUUUCGGGAUCAUCAGGUCGGUCGUGCCUCCGGUAUGUACUGGUCUUGGUGGUUCCUCCUUCCUGAUGAACCGUAAUGCCAUUAAUUUGGUGUUGCGGGGAGACUGGACUGUUACUUUGAAAAAUUAGAGUGUUUAAAGCAGGCUAACGCUUGAAUACGUUAGCAUGGAAUAAUGAAAUAGGACGUUCGAUCUUAUUUUGUUGGUUUCUAAGAUUGACGUAAUGAUUAAUAGGGAUAGUUGGGGGCAUUAGUAUUCAAUUGUCAGAGGUGAAAUUCUUGGAUUUAUUGAAGACUAACUACUGCGAAAGCAUUUGCCAAGGAUGUUUUCAUUAAUCAAGAACGAAAGUUAGGGGAUCGAAGACGAUCAGAUACCGUCGUAGUCUUAACCAUAAACUAUAGCCGACUAGGGAUCGGAUGAUGUAAUUUUUAAUGACUCAUUCGCGCCUUCGGGA